AACCAUUUUCAAACCGGCUAAGUUAGCUUCGUAUUCGGCUUGAUUAUUUGAAGCUUUGAAGUCAACCCAAAAGGUGUACUCGGUGACUACCCCUUCUGAGUUGGUGAGAAUGAGGCCAGCUCCACUGCCUUGAGCAUUCGAUGCCCCGUCGAUAUGCAGCACCCAGGUCGAUCUUAGGUCGGGCUCGAGGGUUGCAGCCUCCUUCGUAGUUGCAUCUUUCGACUUGUUGUCGGUUAUUGUAUAUUCUGUGAUGA
rnacentral:lncRNA from 1 species